AAGUCGUAACAAGGUUUCCGUAGGUGAACCUGCGGAAGGAUCAUUAGUGAUUUGGCCUCCGGGCCUCUUAUCCAAAUCCUCAUACCUCUGUGAACCAAUUGGGCCCUUGGGCCCGCCCACCUUCCAAACACUGUGUAACGAACGUCAUUGUAUAAAAGAAACCUAGUAAAACUUUCAACAACGGAUCUCUUGGCUCUCGCAUCGAUGAAGAACGCAGCGAAAUGCGAUAAGUAAUGUGGAUUGCAGAAUUCAGUGAAUCAUCGAAUCUUUGAACGCACCUUGCGCCCCUUGGUAUUCCGAGAGGCAUGCCUGUUUGAGUGUCAUGAAACCUCAAUCCUUCACGGUUUCGUUACCGUGCUGGACUUGGACUUGGGUGCCUGCCGACUCACCGGCUCACCUCAAAGGCGUUAGUGGGAUAGGCCUCGGGCUUUGACGUAAUAAGUUUCGUCGGACCUCUGGCUCUACGUCCGCUCACAACCACCCCCUUUAUCUUUUACUUCUGACCUCAAAUCAGGUAGGGCUACCCGCUGAACUUAAGCAUAUCAAUAAGCGGAGGAAAAGAAACUAACAAGGAUUCCCCUAGUAGCGGCGAGCGAAGCGGGAUGAGCUCAAAUUUGUAAUCUGGCGUCCCCUGGGCGUCCGAGUUGUAAUCUAUAGAAGCGUUUUCCGUGCCGGACCGUGUCCAAGUCCCUUGGAACAGGGUAUCAAAGAGGGUGACAAUCCCGUGCUUGACACGACGACCGGUGCUCUGUGAUACGCUCUCUACGAGUCGAGUUGUUUGGGAAUGCAGCUCAAAACGGGUGGUAAAUUCCAUCUAAAGCUAAAUAUUGGCGAGAGACCGAUAGCGAACAAGUACCGUGAGGGAAAGAUGAAAAGCACUUUGGAAAGAGAGUUAAACAGUAUGUGAAAUUGUUGAAAGGGAAACGAUUGAAGUCAGUCGUGUUGGGAGGAUUCAGCCGGCCCUGCCGGUGUACUUCCUCCCGACGGGUCAACAUCAGUUUCGUCCGGCGGACAAGGGCGGCGGGAAGGUAGCACCCUCGGGUGUGUUAUAGCCCGCUGUCGCAUACGUCGGUCGAGACUGAGGAAUGCAGCUCGCCUCUAAUGGCCGGGGUUCGCCCACGUCCGAGCUUAGGAUGUUGACAUAAUGGCUUUAAACGACC
rnacentral:rRNA from 1 species